rnacentral:tRNA from 1 species
GAUUUUUUGACAGAAAAAUGUAUUAAGUUUAGAACUUAAAAAUAAAGUGAAGCUUUAAAAAUCA